AUUGAACGCUGGCGGCAGGCCUAACACAUGCAAGUCGAGCGAGCGGCGGACGGGUGAGUAAUAUAUGUGGGCUGACCGAUAGGGGGGGCGAACUACUGGAAACGCUGGCUAAUACCGCCUACGGACGCAUAACCCAUAUGGGGUUAGCUAGUAGGUAAGGGAAUGGCUUACCUAGGCGACGAUCCCUCGCUGGUCUGAGAGGAUGAUCAGCCACACUGGAACUGAGACACGGCCCAGACUCCUACGGAGGCAGCAGUGGGGAAUAUUGCACAAUGGGCGCAAGCCUGAUGCAGCCAUGCCGCGUGUAUGAAGAAGGCCCUCGGGUUGUAAAGUACUUUCAGUCGGGAGGCGUUACCGACAGAAGAAGCACCGGCUAACUCCGUGCCAGCAGCCGCGGUAAUUC
rnacentral:rRNA from 1 species